CGUGGUCUGUUGUUUAAUUUAUUUUAAUGAGAUAUUUUCGUGGAUAUUCAUCAAAGCACUCUCGAAGGUUUUUGCAAAUCUUAUACGAGAUUCCUAAUUCAUUCAGAGGUAUCUCUUUUAUUAACUUCACAAUUUCUGAGGUCUGAAUUAAACAUACUUACGUCUAAAUUUAAUGAAAAUUGUUGAUCAUUGUAAACUACUGUCUGAAAAUUAUUGGAAAUUGUAAUUGCCGUUCACGUUCCUUUACACUCAGAGAUAUUUAGCGCGUGAUUAGAACAAACGUAUCACUUUUUCAUGUUAAACGCGAAAAAUCCGUUUUGUAAUCUUGCAAUACAUUCGGCUUCGGCUUGAGCUUCAAAUUGUUUGUCCACCGUCGACUUGGAUUAGUUAGGUACGUUGUGCACUGCGUGAGAAAGCAAGCAUCUCUCGACAAAGUACACCGCACUGUACCGGUUACACCGUCAGACUAACGUCAAUGUUUUAUUUAUACUUGCACCGCCUGCACGACCGCAUGGGGACCGCUGAGAAAAUGUUUUUUUAAAUUCUAUACGGGUUCGCAGGUAUACAAGAAAGACAAAUGCGGCAGAAUGGUCUCAAGCAAUAUGAGAGGAGCUGCAAAUAAAAUCCUGGCCAAAGAGUUAACGUUACGUCGGGCCGCUGAAAUUUACGAAUUACCGUACACAAGUAUACAAAGAGAAGGCUCUUUCUCCGGGGGUGUCACUACUACUAAACUACACUUGGUAGACAGCCAGUCUGAGAUGAAAUGCUGCCGAAGAUGCUGAAAAGAUUUUAGCACACCGUAAACUGUAUUUGGCAAAUCGUGGCUUCGGAAUUACACCCAAGGCGGUUCGUAAAUAUGUAUUUCAAUUAGCAGAACGUCAGAACAUUCAACCCAAAUUUAAUAAAGAAAUAGGAGUGGCUGGUCAGGGCUGCUUUCAUCGCUUUAUGAAAAGAAAUAACGAAUUAACUAUUCGGAAACCAGAAGGAUUGUCUAGAGCAAGAAUAGACGGCAUGAAAAGGGAAAAAGCGGCCGAAUUCUUUAAGGCUGGAAACAGUAAUAGACAAGACCGAUUUAAGAGGGAGACUGGAAUAACAGUACAAUGUGGACAUGAAAUGUCGUAAACAACAAAACCAAUUUUACAUUUGACAUCACCCCAGAGUAAGAGUAAUCUCCUCGAAUAAGACGCUAGCAGUAAACAUAAGACUGACAAAAAAGCAGUGGAUAAAGAGAAAAAGACUGAGCACAAUGUUAAAGAGAAGAAUAACAGAACGCUUGGAAUAAAAAUAAAAGGUUUGCAUUGUAUUUACUGAUCUGAAAAAUUCAUUCAUCCACCAUCAGAGGAUUGGAUUCAGUGUCAUGCAUCCAAAGAACGGCGCCACGAAAAAUGUGCUGAUAUGGGAGGGAAAAAAGGCCCAUAUGUAUGUGAUUUAUGUAUUAGUAAUUACAAAUUGUUCUUAUUAUUAUUUAUUUAAAAAAAAUAUGAUUCCAAAUGUAUAGUUUUAAGAAAAAAAUCAUUUAAAUAUUUAUUUUGUACGAUCCCAUUCGCCUCUAGAAUUAGGGCGAUUCAGAUAUUUAUGUUUCAAGGAUUUAGUUUAUAAUUUAAAGAACCUAUGAACAAUUUAAGUUUUAAAAUGUUUAUUGCGUAGCUGGAUUGUUACUGAUUUCAGUUCUGUCAAUAAAAGUUACAUAAAUUA